AUUGAACGCUGGCGGAAUGCUUUACACAUGCAAGUCGAACGGCAGCACGGGAGCUUGCUCCUGGUGGCGAGUGGCGAACGGGUGAGUAAUAUAUCGGAACGUAUCCAAUAAUGGGGGAUAACUACGCGAAAGCGUAGCUAAUACCGCAUACGCCCUUAGGGGGAAAGCGGGGGAUCGCAAGACCUCGCACUAUUGGAGCGGCCGAUAUCGGAUUAGCUAGUUGGUGGGGUAAAGGCCUACCAAGGCGACGAUCCGUAGCUGGUUUGAGAGGGCGACCAGCCACACUGGGACUGAGACACGGCCCAGACUCCUACGGGAGGCAGCAGUGGGGAAUUUUGGACAAUGAGGGCAACCCUGAUCCAGCCAUCCCGCGUGUGCGAUGAAGGCCUUCGGGUUGUAAAGCACUUUUGGCAGGAAAGAAACGGUUCCGGAUAAUACCUGGAGCAACUGACGGUACCUGCAGAAUAAGCACCGGCUAACUACGUGCCAGCAGCCGCAGUAA
rnacentral:rRNA from 1 species